UACAGAGGGUGCGAGCGUUGUCCGGAAUCACUGGGCGUAAAGGGCGCGUAGGUGGCCUGAUAAGUAGGGGGUGAAAUCUCGAGGCUCAACUUCGAGGCUGCCUCCUAAACUGUCAGGCUUGAGCAGAGUAGAGGCAGGUGGAAUUCCCGGUGUAGCGGUGGAAUGCGUAGAGAUCGGGAAGAACACCGGUGGCGAAGGCGGCAUCCUGGACCGGCAUUGACGCUGAGGCGCGAAAGCCAGGGGAGCAAACGGG
rnacentral:rRNA from 1 species